rnacentral:rRNA from 1 species
CAGUCGCCACGGUAAUACGUAGGUCCCGAGCGUUGUCCGGAUUUAUUGGGCGUAAAGCGAGCGCAGGCGGUUUGAUAAGUCUGAUGUGAAAGCCCACGGCUCAACCGUGGAGGGUCAUUGGAAACUGUUAAACUUGAGUGCAGGAGAGAAAAGUGGAAUUCCUAGUGUAGCGGUGAAAUGCGUAGAGAUGUGGAGGAACACCAGUGGCGAAGGCGACUCUCUGGUCUGUAACUGACGCUGAGGAGCGAAAGCGUGGGGAGCGAACAGGAUUAGAUACCCCUGUAGUCCCUGUCUCUUAUAC